GUCUAUUGAAUAGUUACUGGUGUCGGUAACCUUCAUCCUAUUGUUCACGGAAUGUGCUUUCUGCUACUGGAGAAUUAUCGGGCUGAUCACUGUUUUAUGUUUGGCUAUUGUCUUGAUCAAACGUUGAAUGUUAUUUUUCUUUCAUCUACCACUUUAUUUCUGUACUGUUAUGUUACCUUAUGCUUGAUCUUGUCCUUAUGAAAUGCGGCACAGGAUUCCCAUGUUCAAUAUGCAAGUGAUGUCAGGAUAGGAGCUGAAAUACGUGGAGAAGUUUGUCGACAUGAUUAUCGACUUAAUGAAGAAAUUGGAAUUAUUUGCUUUCAGACUUAUCACAUACUGCUACCACAUUCUCUAAAGGGAUGAUUAUCGACUUAAUGAAGAAAUUGGAAUUAUUUGCCGGUUAUGUGGAUUUGUUAGCACCGAAAUAAAGGAUGUUCCACCACCCUUUGUAAGUCAAGUCUCGAACUUCUUUCAUUGCUCUUAUUCUGAAGGACCUGCUUAAAGAUGUCUUUGAGAUUUGCCCUCCACGAAGUGGUGGCACUUCAAAAAUGUUUUUGACCAAGAGAUGAAGCUUUGUCUUGGUCCAUCUCAUCAUUUUAUCGUACACGUAAUGGGAAGUAUAUUCGGCAUGUAAUUCAGGAAGCAUGUUGAAGCAGAUCUAGACUAUCAUUCUU
rnacentral:lncRNA from 1 species